rnacentral:rRNA from 1 species
UCUGGUUGAUCCUGCCAGACCCGACUGCUAUCCGGAUGGGACUAAGCCAUGCAAGUCGACGGUGCACCAAGCAUCGUGGCGAACUGCUCAGUAAUAAGUGAUCAACUCACCCUAUGGUAGCUGACAACCUCGGGAAACUGAGGCUAAUCCGCCAUAGGUGACAGGGCCUGGAAUGGUCUGUCACUCAAAGGGUAUGCCUAAUGGUGGCAUAUCCGCCGUAGGACAGGAUCGCUGCCGAUUAUGGUUGUUGGCGAGGUAAUGGCUCACCAAGCCUAUGAUCGGUAAGGGCCGUGAGAGCGGGAGCCCUGAGAUGGGUACUGAGACAAGGACCCAGGCCUUACGAGGCGCAGCAGGCGCGAAACCUUUACAAUGCACGCAAGUGUGAUAAGGUCAUCCGGAGUGCCGGGGGUGUUCCUCCCGGCUGUUGUGGGGUGUAGGUAGCCCCACCAGAAAGGAGAGGGCAAGGCUGGUGCCAGCCGCCGCGGUAACACCAGCUCUUCAAGUGGUCGGGACAAUUAUUGGGCUUAAAGCGUCCGUAGCCGGGUUGACAAGUUCCCGGUAAAAUCCGGCCGCUCAACGGUCGGCAGGCUGGGAAAACUGUCUUCCUGGAGGGUGGGAAAGGUCUGAGGUACUCUGGGGGUAGCGGUGAAAUGUGAUAAUCCUUAGGGGACCACCAGAGGCGAAGGCGUCAGACUGGAACACGCCUGACGGUGAGGGACGAAAGCUAGGGGAGCGAACGGGAUCAGAUACCCCGGUAGUCCUAGCCGUAAACGAUGUGUGCUAGGUGUCGGCAAGGCUAGGAGCCGUGCCGGUGCCGCAGAGAAAUCGUUAAGCACACCGCCUGGGAAGUACGCUCGCAAGAGUGAAACUUAAAGGAAUUGGCGGGGGAGCACCACAAGGGGUGAAGCCUGCGGUUCAAUUGGACUCAACGCCGGGAAGCUUACCAGGGGCGACAGCAGAAUGAAGGUCAGGCUGAUGACCUUACCAGACAAGCUGAGCGGAGGUGCAUGGCCGUCGCCAGUUCGUGCCGUGAGGUAUCCUGUUAAGUCAGGCAACGAACGAGACCCACACACUUAGUUGCCAGCGACUGACUUCGGUUAGGUCGGGAACGCUAAGUGAACCGCCGCCGUACAGACGGAGGAAGGGGUGGGCCACGGCAGGUCAGUAUGCCCCUAAUCCCCUGGGCCACACGCGGGCUGCAAUGGUAAGGACAAUGGGCUGCAACACCGAAAGGUGGAGCCAAUCCCGAAACCUUAUCUCAGUUGGGAUUGUCGGCUGCAACUCGCCGACAUGAACGUGGAAUCCCUAGUAAUCGUGCGUCAACAUCACACGGUGAAUACGUCUCUGCUCCUUGCACACACCGCCCGUCGCUCCAUCCGAGUGAAGCGUAAUUGAAAACUGGUCCUUUGGGUUAGUUUGAGGUUAUACUUCACGAGGAGGGAGAAGUCGUAACAAGGUA